rnacentral:rRNA from 1 species
GACGAACGCUGGCGGCGUGCUUAACACAUGCAAGUCGAACGGAAAGGCCCUGCUUGCAGGGUGCUCGAGUGGCGAACGGGUGAGUAACACGUGGGUGAUCUGCCCCUUACUUUGGGAUAAGCCUGGGAAACUGGGUCUAAUACUGGAUAGGACCAUGCUGUAGGUGGUGUGGUGGAAAGAUUAGUUUCGGUAAGGGAUGAGCUCGCGGCCUAUCAGCUUGUUGGUGGGGUAAUGGCCUACCAAGGCGUCGACGGGUAGCCGGCCUGAGAGGGUGGACGGCCACAUUGGGACUGAGAUACGGCCCAGACUCCUACGGGAGGCAGCAGUGGGGAAGAUUGCAAAAUGGGCGAAAGCCUGAUGCAGCGACGCCGCGUGGGGGAUGACGGCCUGCGGGUUGUAAACUCCUUUCAGCCAUGACGAAGCCCUUGUGGUGACGGUAGUGGUAGAAGAAGCACCGGCUAACUACGUG